UUCUCUCUCUCUCUCUCUCUCUCUCUCUCUCUCUCUCUCUCUCUCUCUAUAACGAACAAAGAGAAACAAAGCAGAAUUCAGAAGAGGGGCGAAAGAUAGCGGAAGACGCUCGGGUCACGUAUGAAAGACGAUCGCGUAAAUAUGCGUUCCCAAACAAGUGAGUCGCGGUCGCGCUGAAAGAAAAAAAUAUCAACUGAAUUUUUUUCACGAAUUGGUGUUAAACGAAUGAGUGAGACACUUUUAUUUUCCACCGUAUGGCAACGGCAAUAUAUUUCGCUUUAGAUUAACGGAAAGUAAAAGCAAAAGGUAAUUAACAAAAUAGGAUAAGCUUUUUUUAAAAACCAAUAAAUUUGGAAGAAGAGAGGGUUCAAAAACGAUGGACAAAUUUAUCUUAUAAGAGAUUCAAAAUGACCUUGGCUCCUGAUGCAAUAUUCCGAACGGUACUUAAAGGAAUUCCAUCGACUAAAGGCAAGCGCGACGGAAAACCGGUUCCAAACCACACACCGUUUAAAUCUCUUCGAAAUAAUGUUAGUCCGUUUGUCCUUUUCUAACACACUCUUAUCGUGUCCGAAAUUGAAAAGAGGAAAAAAAAAAGAAAAAAAAAAAAAUUUCACUUCUCCAGAAAUUGGACUUGGACUAUUUGAUGAAGUCGAAUAAUUUCAAACGUAUCGUAUCGUAUAUUUUCACGCGUAAUAAUUGUGAUCGUAAUAAUUGAUCAUGACACAUGCGCAAGAACGAAGAGAAAAAGCUCGCUAUGAAUGACUAAUGCUAACAAAGAUUAAAAUAAUGAAGUAAUCUCUCCGUAAAAACUGAGAAUCUAUGCCGCGGCAUUGAGAUUAAUUCUCUCAAACGAGUUUCUUUGUUUUUUUUCUUCUUUUUUUUUUUUUAUGCAAUUGAACAGUGUUGUAACCAAUCGUAAUUAAAAUCAAAUGAAUCGAGCAAUCUUCUUAGAUAUUCGAAUAUUCUUUUCGAAAUUAUUCUUGUUGGGGAAAAACAAUUGUAUUUAACAUGAUAUUAAAAAAUUGCAAAACGAAUAUAUCGAUAUUUUAUACCGUGCAUACCUAUAUAUAUAUGCUUAUAACAGUUUUUAAUUAAUUCGAACAACGAAACACGAUAUGCACCUAAUGCCCUGAUUCUUUUCGAGAGGGAAUGACCUUAUCUGCAUAUGCAUAUAUUCGUCCCGAGUUUUUGGCACGCUUUCUUUAAAAAUCGCUUGAACGAUGCACACGGAAAUAGAAUAAGAGCGGAUAACGGACUUUUAAGGCUAAGUCAGUCGUUGUCACGAAAGAAUUUCACCCGAUUUUACCCGUGACAUCGUUACCAUCUCUCCAUCUCUCUCCAACCGAUCGUGAAAUAUUUCCAAAGAUCCUCGUUCCUUCCACUCGAGGUAAACGAUUUUCCCUCUCGUUCGCGCACCGUGCACGCCACGCGACGGUUGCUCUAUUGCGCAACUUGAAAAUGGUGACAGGAAGUUGACCAGCAGCCUGCCUGUAGAGAGGCGAUUAACUAUGUAUUUACUACACGAGUGAUCGAACUGACGAAUCGUGAAUAACGCAUUCGCGUAAAAGAAACAUUUCUACAGACACGUUGUUGAUUCAUUCCACAUUUUCUUUUACUGUUUUAUCCUGGAUAGACUGUAUGUAUGUAUAUAUACACGUACACAAGUUGGUACGAACAAGGAGAAAUUUACGUAACUUGACGCCGCGAAAAUGAGCGGAAAUCCGGUGAAUCGUAUCGACGGAGGACAAAUCUUUGGAUCGCGAGAUAGUUGGCAUGAUCGGGUUCCACGUAUCGCGGCAAGAUGAUCGAGCGCGGAUCCCAUGAAGGCGAAUUAAGGCCAGCGACGAAUGUGCCAUUUUCUAAAGGAGCAACUUCCGCCGAUUAACAACCGUAAUUGUUACACGCGAGAAUGGUUAUGAUAUCGGUUCAAUGAGAACCGAUGGCCAAACAAUUGAAACAAUUUCCGAUAAACUUCGUCACGCGUCUUGAAAUUCCAUCGAGAAAAUUGAUCGCGUGUAAUAAAUAAAGAAACGAAUCUUGUGAUAUAUGUUUUUUCUUUUUUCUUUUUUUUUUUUUGUACGUGUCUUAUCGCUCGCGAACAAAACGAAUGAGUCACUCGAUGCUCGCGAACGCUUACCUUCUUGUGCUUACCGAUGAAUCGCAAUGGAAACAAGGAAACUGAUGCCGAAAUAGAAAAAUUACUUACUUUAUAACUGCUUCUCGAACAAGAGACGGGAACGAAAGAGGGAAAGAGACAAAGCAGACAAAGAAUAACUAACGAGGAAACAAAGUGGUUUUAUACGAUUUCGUGACCUUGAGAAAAAAUUCCCAGUAUUUGAUUUUACUUCGUGAUUUUGUUACCAAGUCAAGACAUUUACGUCGGACAUGAUACGUUGAAAUAAAUAAGAAAAGAAUAAAAGAAACGGUUGAUUGCAUCGUAAAUUUCAAUCUUCAAUUCGUUUCCCGCUAAACAAAAAGAGUAAUUUGUAGAUCAAUAGAAUAGUAUUGAUCACGAGUUAAUUGCUUAGUCUUUCUUAAAUGACUUCAAUAAUACAUUAGAACGAUAAAAAAAAAA
rnacentral:lncRNA from 1 species